rnacentral:lncRNA from 1 species
GUAGCUUUGUGCUUGAGGUCCUUGCUAAGGAUUUUUUUUUAACUUGGAGGUCAGUUCCCCCUUACUACCCAGAGGGAGUGGAGAAGGAUGGAGGAGGGAUGCAGAGUAGGACUAAUUGUUAGACCAUUGGAUAGAUUCUUAAGUUGUGCGAUUUUUUUCUCUAGUGAUAGAAAAUCUGGUACCAAUACUUUACAAAGACAUUUAGUUUUUGCUUUCAUAUUAAUCUCAAGGAAAUUAACUGGGAGAACAAGCAGUUAGCUUUGGCACAGAAGAAAUUUAAGAAAAUAUAUCCUAUAUUUGGAUUCCUACUGAAUUUGAGGAAUAACUUUUUUUCGUGACAUGUGGGUUUUUGUGUUUUUAUGAAUUAUUUAGGGAUGUUUUUCUGCUGUAAUGGUUGAAUAUAAGUUGCAAAGAUUUAAGCCUUUAUAUUAAUGUUCUACCUCAUUAACUUCAUUGUUAGGGCUUUUACACUUCAGUGAUUUAAAAUAAAAUGAUCUAAAUAUAGUUCU